AUUGAACGCUGGCGGCAUGCCUAACACAUGCAAGUCGAGCGGAUGAAGGGUGCUUGCUCCUGGAUUCAGCGGCGGACGGGUGAGUAAUGCCUAGGAAUGUGGCUGGGAGUGGGGGAUAACGUGCGGAAACGGGCGCUAAUACCGCAUACGUCCUGAGGGAGGAAGUGGGGGAUCUUCGGACCUCACGCUAUCAGAUGAGCCUAGGUCGGAUUAGCUAGUUGGUGGGGUAAAGGCCUACCAAGGCGACGAUCCGUAACUGGUCUGAGAGGAUGAUCAGUCACACUGGAACUGAGACACGGUCCAGACUCCUACGGGAGGCAGCAGUGGGGAAUAUUGGACAAUGGGCGAAAGCCUGAUCCAGCCAUGCCGCGUGUGUGAAGAAGGUCUUCGGAUUGUAAAGCACUUUAAGUUGGGAGGAAGGGCAGUAAGUUAAUACCUUGCUGUUUUGACGUUACCAACAGAAUAAGCACCGGCUAACUUCGUG
rnacentral:rRNA from 1 species